GCUGUUCAGGUUUUCCUGCCCUCCUCCCUGCCCGGUACCCCACAUCACAGACCGGAUAGGCUUUCUAUGCCUUUGGUGCGGCUGCCAGCCACGGCCGGGAUGGCCACCGCUGAGGGCUUGCACCCGAGCCCAUUUGAAUGACAGAAGGCUCUGGCCGGCCCUUGUGAACAGGAGGAACCCCCUGCCCUCUCUCUCCAUCUUGGGAAGUGAGGGACCUGUAAUCUAUGAGCCCCCAUCAUGUCAUUUCGAUUAGUGCAUGAACAAACUCUCGGCCGGGGGUGGAGAGGAGGUGGCCUAGCCCCCACCUACCCACCCACCCUUUGGGGGGGGAUAAUUUAUGGAAUACCAGCAAGCAGAGUUCCUCCCCUCCUUUUGGCAUGAGACCGUGCCCCAUGUCACCCCCCCCCAAAUUCAUAGGAUUCUCAAGAUCUGGGGUGGGGGGGGCAGAGGAGAAGACCUCCUUUCCCCGGCCAUCCAUCCAGAACAGGGGCCAAAUCUGUUUAAUCCGCUUUUCUGCCUCUUCUGAGUCAAUAGGGUGCCCCACAGCACCCUCCGACAUUUAUUAUUCAUUCUUCCUCUUCCCUCCUGUCUCUCGGAUCCUAUUUAAGAAAAAAAGGGGGGGAGAGACGUCAAUAGGGUGCCCCACACCACCCUCCGACAUUUAUUAUUCAUUCUUCCUCUUCCCUCCUGUCUCUCGGAUCCAAUUUAAGGUGCCGAGGAAGAAGAAGAAGAAAAAAAGGGGGGGGAGAGACAUUUGGAAAAAUAAUGAUCAGAAAAAGGACCCAGCCCAGACCUGA
rnacentral:lncRNA from 1 species